UUUGGAACGCAAGGAUGCAGGCAUGUAUGUGUACUUUCAGAAGCUGUAGUUUUAUUUGCUCUUCUUAAAUUGAAGAACAUAAGCCCUUGCGUUCAAAAUUACUGAAUACAUAUUUGCAUAUUUUUGUUAUUUGAUUUGUUAUUAGAGUGUCAAACUGGGUUAUGAAAUUCUAAGCUGUUUUUAAUAAUCUGAAGUCUGUGCGUGUUUGCAAGUUUCAUGUAUAUGCUUGUAGUUGUUGGAAGAUAUUUUAGGUCGUCUGGGAAUGAGCAAAGAUGACAUUUAUAGAAAGCUGUUUUAAGGGAGUUCUUACAACCAUCCACUUGUACAACUCCCAUACCGAGCUAGAGUAUCUUAAGAGAGUUUAAGUAGUAUGACCUCGUCACGGUGGUUAGAGUAAUACUAGAUAAUCAUGAAAUAUUGUUGGAUAGGCUAAGCACAAUUUCCUUUUUCUUUAUUGGCUACUGCACAAAAUUUGAUAGCAUGCACUGUAUUGCUUUUUUUAUUUUUGCAUCAUGAAGUGGUGUACUACACUUUUCUUUCUGUAUAACUGGUGCAGCUUGUUUCAUAUUUUUCAUGAGUCAUGACAUCUCCUAUAUAGUCUGUUUCUCUUCUACAUUCAUAAUACUCUUCUUACUCACCUGUAAAAAUGCACAAGAA
rnacentral:misc_RNA from 1 species